GCGGUGAUCAGAAUCUGUUUUUCUUUACGGUCUUAUUAUGCUAAGGCCUGUGCCCGUCUGAAAUGUGACAUCCGUGGAAACGAAUAGGCGGUUCAGGCAGCCCGAGACGCGCACCAGAAAAGGCCUUUUCGUAAAAUCUACUUGUCGCUGCUGGAACCAGAGUUGCGUGUGAAGGUGCUGAAGGUCUUCAAUUUCUGGACAACCGGGCAUUGCCAAUGCUGUGGCAGUACUUCAGAGAGGCCUCAUAUGUGUGUCAGUAGGUCGACGAUCCAUGCCAGAAGUCUCAUGUGACGGAGGAGUAGUUUGGUGAGGUGAGCAUACGGCACCUUCACUGUCCGACUCAAAGUACUCACCUCAAUCCAAUCGAGUACCCUCUGGGAUGAACUAGGCCAUCAAGCACGUGAAAAAAAAAAAAAAAAAAAAAAUAAAACACCCGAAACAAGGCUGUUCUAGCAGCCGGUACAAGCAAGGUACAACCGGAACUUUACAGCAAGUUACUGGUGAGAAUUCCACGAAGACUGGGUGCCGCCACCAAAGCCGAACAGCAGACAGUACUAGCUAUCUUGAAAAUAAAGGCUAUGUAGUA